AACGAACGCUGGCGGCAGGCUUAACACAUGCAAGUCGAGCGCGGUCUUUCGGGACUGAGCGGCGGACGGGUGAGUAACGCGUGGGAACGUGCCCUUCUCUCUGGAAUAGCCCUGGGAAACCGGGAGUAAUGCCGGAUACGCCCUUUGGCAGCGAUGUCUGGGGGGAAAGAUUUAUCGGGGAAGGAUCGGCCCGCGUCGGAUUAGGUAGUUGGUGGGGUAACGGCCCACCAAGCCGACGAUCCGUAGCUGGUUUGAGAGGAUGACCAGCCACACUGGGACUGAGACACGGCCCAGACUCCUACGGGUGGCAG
rnacentral:rRNA from 1 species